UAACACAUGCAAGUCGAACGAAGCCUUCGGGCUUAGUGGCGGACGGGUUAGUAACGCGUGGGAACGUGCCUUUCACUACGGAAUAGUCCCGGGAAACUGGGUUUAAUACCGUAUACGCCCUUCGGGGGAAAGAAUUUCGGUGAAAGAUCGGCCCGCGUUAGAUUAGGUAGUUGGCGGGGUAAUGGCCUACCAAGCCUACGAUCUAUAGCUGGUUUUAGAGGAUGAUCAGCAACACUGGGACUGAGACACGGCCCAGACUCCUACGGGAGGCAGCAGUGGGGAAUCUUGGACAAUGGGCGCAAGCCUGAUCCAGCCAUGCCGCGUGAGUGAUGAAGGCCUUAGGGUCGUAAAGCUCUUUCGCCAGGGAUGAUAAUGACAGUACCUGGUAAAGAAACCCCGGCUAACUCCGUGCCNANAGGCGCGGUAAU
rnacentral:rRNA from 1 species